rnacentral:pre_miRNA from 1 species
GGCCAUCAUCCUCAGGUUCCACCGGAGAUUGAACUCCAGCCAAGCCGAGAGCUUGCUCGAGUUUCAACCUCCGGUGGAACUUGAGGACGGUGGCCA